rnacentral:SRP_RNA from 15 species
GCCUCCCCGUGCGAUCGUGCCCCGGCCGCAACCGGGCGGUCACUCGCCGGCGAGCCCGUGCAGGAAGUCGGCGACGCCCCGGUGCC